GACGUAGGGGGCAAGCGUUGUCCGGAAUUAUUGGGCGUAAAGCGCUCGUAGGCGGAUCGGUAAGUCUGUGAAGAAAGACCCGGGCUCAACUCGGGGAACGGCAUAGAUACUGCUGAUCUUGAGACAGUCAGAGGAUGAUGGAAUUCCAGGUGUAGCGGUGAAAUGCGUAGAUAUCUGGAGGAACACCUGUGGCGAAGGCGGCCCCCUGGGCCGGGCCUGACGCUGAGACGCGAAGGCGCGGGGAGCGAACGGG
rnacentral:rRNA from 1 species